GAGAACUCUUGCUCUGCCUUCUCUCUACCUCUCUAGCAACACAGGUCCUGCUACACACUUUCUUGCUUUUCAUUUUCUGUAGUUUCAUUCUUUUUUUUUUUUUUUUCUCCAGCGACUUUGAAGCCCGUUGCUUCAGGAUGAUUCUUCAUCAGCAUCUGCCGAUUUCAUUUUUCAAUCUUUUGAAUCAUUUUCGAUAAUUCCCUGUGAGCGAUAUUGUUUAAAAAAACCCUAAACAAACCAUGCUUUCAACAACGGAACUCAUUCUAUAAUCCAUAAAUGGAGUACCACAAGUCGUCACAAGAAAUAUGAGCCACAAAUUUAGGAAAAAUCCAUCAUCAAACAACUACGGAUCUGUUUAGAAACGAAGCACCCAUAGUGGUGACAAUGACUCUACGAAAUAGACCUGAGGAAAAUCCAGAUGAGAAAAGCUUCAAUUGUAUAAGACCUGAGGAAAAUCCAGAUGAGAAAAGCUUCAAUUGUAUAAGGUAACCGUAUUUCAUAAGUUGUUUUAAUUUAUGAAAUUUAUUGAUUGUGUUAAAAAAAUCAUUUUUUUAAUUUGUCCCUGUUCUGUUGGUAUAAAAUAUAAAUUUAUAAAGAUUUUGUUAAAAUUUUUAUUUGAAAAUAUUGACCAAUUUAAAGUGUAAUAUAAAUAUAUUUUGAAGUAAUAUAUGUUGCAGAUUUCAGAAAAAAAAAAACAAAAUUCCUUCUAUGAAGCGCACAUGAAUAUCCUUGCAAUAAUUUUUUUAACAUAUCAGUUUGGUCAUUUGUUUAUGUAUUCUUAAGGUAGCCAAAAAAAUUCAUAGUACCUUUAUUUGCAUCUAUUUCCUUCUUCCCUGUGCAGCCUAUGGUAACUGAUCCCUUGAGUGUCUACUGCAUUAUCAAUUUUUGACUUGAUUUCUUGCAACUGAACUUCUUGUACUGCAGUAUGUUUUAAUGCUUUGAAUGCAUUCCUGGUAAAAUGUACCAUAGAUGACCUGCUUAACCUUGAAAAUAUGUACUCCAUGUUGUCGUUUUUUUUUUAUUUUUUGGAAAAUAUAUGUACUGCUUUACAUUGAUUAUAAAUGUUACAACAGAACUGACAAUAACCAAGAGACAAUUGGAAUACUACACUUUAUACGUGCACGUUACCUAAGAAUAGGUACAAACAUACAUGAGUUUGAGUUUUUUUGCUAUUGUGAUCUGCUCAUGAUGAUUUCAGGUGUGAAUGCCAGUAGUAUUGCUUGGUAUGCCGUUGAAAUCCUAAAAAAGUUUACUAUUGCAGGGCCCAUUCACUCAUCUCCAUGAGAAACACAACUACAUAUUUAUCCAAUUCACUGAAUAAAUGUAAAAAAAAAAAAUGGAGGAAUUGCAUACUGCAAAAGGUUAUAGCUUUAGAAUGAGUUGUUACCUCCUGUUUGAUGAUGUUUUUCUCUCCUUUCUCUUCAACGAAAGAGUGUAAAAGUGAGUAUUACAGCGCAGGACAUGUAAUAUUUAUAGGGUAUUCAGUUUGGAAUUCGAAAUUUGAAAUUUUAAACCACCAUGUAUUAGUGGGCGGGAAUUGUGACUAAAUUUUGUGUCAUUGAUUCUA